rnacentral:rRNA from 1 species
GUCUCAGUUCGGAUCGCAGGCUGCAACCCGCCUGCGUGAAGUCGGAAUCGCUAGUAAUCGCGGAUCAGCAUGCCGCGGUGAAUACGUUCCCGGGCCUUGUACACACCGCCCGUCACACCAUGAGAGUCGGGAACACCCGAAGUCCGUAGCCUAACCGCAAGGAGGGCGCGGCCGAAGGUGGGUUCGAUAAUUGGGGUGAAGUCGUAACAAGGUACC